AUUGAACGCUGGCGGCAUGCCUUACACAUGCAAGUCGAACGGUAACAGGCCGCAAGGUGCUGACGAGUGGCGAACGGGUGAGUAAUGCAUCGGAACGUGCCCAGUAGUGGGGGAUAGCCCGGCGAAAGCCGGAUUAAUACCGCAUACGACCUGAGGGUGAAAGGGGGGGAUCGCAAGACCUCUCGCUAUUGGAGCGGCCGAUGUCAGAUUAGCUAGUUGGUGGGGUAAGGGCCUACCAAGGCAACGAUCUGUAGUUGGUCUGAGAGGACGACCAGCCACACUGGGACUGAGACACGGCCCAGACUCCUACGGGAGGCAGCAGUGGGGAAUUUUGGACAAUGGGCGCAAGCCUGAUCCAGCAAUGCCGCGUGCAGGAAGAAGGCCUUCGGGUUGUAAACUGCUUUUGUCAGGGAAGAAAUCUUCUGGGUUAAUACCUCGGGAGGAUGACGGUACCUGAAGAAUAAGCACCGGCUAACUACGUGCCAGCAGCCGCCGUAAUAC
rnacentral:rRNA from 1 species